rnacentral:pre_miRNA from 1 species
UCGGAGUAUCUCAAGCAUGACGCAAAGUGUUCAGUCAUGCCAGGAAUUCUCUGAGA